rnacentral:lncRNA from 1 species
CCAGAAAUAGGGGUUCUCUGUUUUUCUGGGACAGAACCUGGAACUUUGUUAAAAUGACUAGUUUAAUGUUUGAAUCUUGUUGUCAUGUUUAAAGAUGAGUUGUAGACAAUUUCCGAAGCUUUCCAGAAUGUCCUUACUCAUGUUUGUUGGACCUGCCUAUCUAGAAUUAUGAUUUAUUUACUGAGCAUACUUGUUUUGUGUCGUUGGCUGC